rnacentral:rRNA from 1 species
AUUGAACGCUGGCGGCAGGCCUAACACAUGCAAGUCGAGCGGUAACAGGGGUAGCUUGCUACCCGCUGACGAGCGGCGGACGGGUGAGUAAUGCAUAGGAAUCUGCCCGAUAGUGGGGGAUAACCUGGGGAAACCCAGGCUAAUACCGCAUACGUCCUACGGGAGAAAGGGGGCUCCGGCUCCCGCUAUCGGAUGAGCCUAUGUCGGAUUAGCUGGUUGGUGAGGUAACGGCUCACCAAGGCGACGAUCCGUAGCUGGUCUGAGAGGAUGAUCAGCCACAUCGGGACUGAGACACGGCCCGAACUCCUACGGGAGGCAGCAGUGGGGAAUAUUGGACAAUGGGGGGAACCCUGAUCCAGCCAUGCCGCGUGUGUGAAGAAGGCCCUCGGGUUGUAAAGCACUUUCAGUGAGGAAGAACGCCUGGUGGUUAAUACCAUCAGGAAAGACAUCACUCACAGAAGAAGCACCGGCUAACUCCGUGCCAGCAGCCGCGGUAAUACGGAGGGUGCGAGCGUUAAUCGGAAUUACUGGGCGUAAAGCGCGCGUAGGUGGCUUGAUAAGCCGGUUGUGAAAGCCCCGGGCUCAACCUGGGAACGGCAUCCGGAACUGUCAAGCUAGAGUGCAGGAGAGGAAGGUAGAAUUCCCGGUGUAGCGGUGAAAUGCGUAGAGAUCGGGAGGAAUACCAGUGGCGAAGGCGGCCUUCUGGACUGACACUGACACUGAGGUGCGAAAGCGUGGGUAGCAAACAGG